rnacentral:tRNA from 1 species
GGCGGCAUAGCCAAGAGGUAAGGCGUGGGUCUGCAAAACCUUGAUCCCCGGUUCGAUUCCGGGUGCCGCCUCCA